GGGUUCUACCUGAUCUCUCCAUCAGAGUACCAGCGUUUCUCCCUGUCAGCUAAAGUCAUCACAGAACCUCUGUGUACUGUGGAGCUGGAGAGACCUCUGGAGACCAGUGACGACGCAGCCAUGCCUCUCCGGGCCAACGGAACUCACUGGAACCAGGCUGAAGGGUUAACCGAGGACCCCCAGUGUGGCCUGUCCUCCCCGCCUCCCCUCUCCCCUCUGGACUCCCCCCUUAGUAUGGCUGACGUCAGCCUGGACACCACCGGAGAACUCACUGUAGAGGACGUCAGGGACUUCCUCACGUA